UACGAAGGGGGCUAGCGUUGCUCGGAAUUACUGGGCGUAAAGGGAGCGUAGGCGGAUAGUUUAGUCAGAGGUGAAAUCCCGGGGCUCAACCUCGGAACUGCCUUUGAUACUGGCUAUCUUGAGUAUGGGAGAGGUGUGUGGAACUCCGAGUGUAGAGGUGAAAUUCGUAGAUAUUCGGAAGAACACCAGUGGCGAAGGCGACACACUGGCCCAUUACUGACGCUGAGGCUCGAAAGCGUGGGGAGCAAACAGGG
rnacentral:rRNA from 1 species